rnacentral:rRNA from 1 species
UACGGAAGGCAGCAGUGGGGAAUAUUGCACAAUGGGCGCAAGCCUGAUGCAGCCAUGCCGCGUGUAUGAAGAAGGCCUUCGUGUUGUAAAGUACUUUCAGUCGUGAGGAAGGUGUUAAGGUUAAUAACCUUAGCAAUUGACGUUAGCGACAGAAGAAGCACCGGCUAACUCCGUGCCAGCAGCCGCGGUAAUACGGAGGGUGCGAGCGUUAAUCGGAAUUACUGGGCGUAAAGGGCACGCAGGCGGUUAAUUAAGUUGGAUGUGAAAUCCCCGGGCUUAACCUGGGAAUGGCAUUCAAGACUGGUUAGCUAGAGUCUUGUAGAGGGGGUAGAAUUCCAUGUGUAGCGGUGAAAUGCGUAGAGAUGUGGAGGAAUACCGGUGGCGAAGGCGGCCCCUGGGACAAAGACUGACGCUCAUGUGCGAAAGCGUGGGGAGCAAACAGGAUUAGAUACC